rnacentral:rRNA from 1 species
GACGAACGCUGGCGGCGUGCUUAACACAUGCAAGUCGAACGGAAAGGCCCUGCUUUUGUGGGGUGCUCGAGUGGCGAACGGGUGGGUAACACGUGAGUAACCUGCCCUUGACUUUGGGAUAACUUCAGGAAACUGGGGCUAAUACCGGAUAGGAGCUCCUGCUGCAUGGUGGGGGUUGGAAAGUUUCGGCGGUUGGGGAUGGACUCGCGGCUUAUCAGCUUGUUGGUGGGGUAGUGGCUUACCAAGGCUUUGACGGGUAGCCGGCCUGAGAGGGUGACCGGCCACACUGGGCCUGAGAUGCGGCCCAGACUCCUACGGGAGGCAGAAGUGGGGAAUAUUGCACAAUGGGCGGAAGCCUGAUGCAGCAACGCCGCGUGCGGGAUGACGGCCUGCGGGUUGUAAACCGCUUUCGCCUGUGACGAAGCGUGAGUGACGGUAAUGGGUAAAGAAGCACCGGCUAACUACGUG